rnacentral:rRNA from 1 species
AUACGAAGGGUGCAAGCGUUACUCGGAAUUACUGGGCGUAAAGCGUGCGUAGGUGGUUGUUUAAGUCUGUCGUGAAAGCCCUGGGCUCAACCUGGGAAUGGCGAUGGAAACUGGGCGACUAGAGUGUGGCAGAGGGUAGUGGAAUUCCUGGUGUAGCAGUGAAAUGCGUAGAGAUCAGGAGGAACAUCCGUGGCGAAGGCGACUGCCUGGGCCAACACUGACACUGAGGCACGAAAGCGUGGGGAGCAAACAGGAUUAGAUACCCUGGUAGUCCACGCCCUAAACGAUGCGAACUGGAUGUUGGGUGCAAUUUGGCACGCAGUAUCGAAGCUAACGCGUUAAGUUCGCCGCCUGGGGAGUACGGUCGCAAGACUGAAACUCAAAUGAAUUGACGGGG